rnacentral:lncRNA from 1 species
CCGUGCAUCGUGUGAAUGUUCACGAAGUGAAUGUAAUGGGAAAAUGAAAUAGUACUAUGGUGUAGUAUCAAAUAACUACAACCGUACUAACUACCUUAAAUCUAUUGUAAUUUAAAGUAACAUGUGAUCGACCUAUAUCCUGCUACCGACUCUAGUAAAACGACGAUGUAAGACGCCGUAAGAAAUGACAUUUGGCACCCGUAGACUUGCAAGUCCCACUGUAGCGAGCAGCAAGGUGUAGGAUAGUCAAUCCAGUAUAGAUCUAUAUGCAAACUCAUACGCUCCCCAAUUAAGGAGAUUCUGGAUACAAAAAUGGUCAUGACAGGUAGUGCCAUGACCCGUCUAAUGGCUCACAUAACUGAAUGUCAUGUAUAUGAAAUGUAUAUGCUAGCUGUAUUGUGUGUUCUCUCUCUGUCUAACUUAUAUGUACUGGAGUGUUCUGCGUGUCCUAGCUGUAAUGUAUGUUCUCUCUAUCUAGCAUGUAUAGAAAUGUACUGUGUGUACUAGCUGUAAUGUGUGUUAUCUCUCUAUCUAGCAAGUAUUGACCCAUGAAUGAACUGACUCCUUGUAUGAUAUCUCGUUCUAGUAAUAGUUCUAGUAUCUUCCUAAACUACCCCUAUGGUAGCUUACUAGUAGUGUAACUGGUACGUAUGAACAUGGAAGUAUACCCUUGCUACCCAAGGGUACUGAAUGAAUCUGGAGAACCUUUAUGACUAUAUAUGUACACAUGAUACAUAACUAAUAUUUAAACGACCUUCGGACGGAUACCUGAUACUCACCAGACCACAUCCAAAUCGAGGAAAAGGAAAUAAAGUGGAUAGCCUUCCUAAGUCCUUUAAACAUUUCUUAUAAAACUAUACAUAUAUAGGCAUGCAAUUUAUAAUAUAAAAGCAUAAAAUAAGUUUUGUAAAAUCUUUAAAGAGUUUAAACUACUAAGAAAGAUGACUUGAUGUCAGUUUGUAAGAUGGUUUGAAAGCAGUAUAUAAGAACCGAUAUAAGUAUAAGGAAAACCUUUGUUUGAAACACUAUUGUAACAGAGUUUUGCCAAGAAAAAAUCAGUAAGUAAGACCGUUUGAUAAAGAGUUUUAAACAAGUAAAAAGAACAUGUUGGAAAGCUAUUUGAAAUAAUCUGUUUGGUAAAACAGCUUAAAGUGUAGUAAAUACAUUUGUAUGCUAGUUAUUAAUCACAUGUGAUUGAUGUAAUAACUUAGCAUGAUUCAACUUGUAUCCCCCCCCCCCCAUAAAAGCAUUUAAAAACAUUUAAAAGAUAGAUUAAGGGGGUAUGAACUCACCUGUAGUGAGUAGUCCUGAUGAAAAUGUUGGAUCAGUUGAUAAGUGCCAAGUGUUGACUUGAGUACACAUGAAAAUCCUAUUUAGCAUACAUUGAUACAUAUAUGAAUAUUAUUAGUGUUAUGAACAACUAAUUAAUGAAUUAGGACCACUUUAGGGACUGGUAAACACUUAUAUUGAAGUGUUACAACCAUAAAUGAUUGUACGAAGGGUUAUAAGGCUAUACAAGAUAGUGUAUGGCUAAAAUACACACUAUAUGUGUGUGUGCGGCCAUGUGUGCGGCCAGGUGUGCUGCCAGCACAUGUGUGCAGCCAGGUGUGAUGCCAGAAGGUGUGUGCUGCCACAACAUAUGGUGUUCUUGGUGUUCUUGGUGUUCUUGGUGAAGAAUGUUACCUCUCUGGAUGAUACUUGAGAGGAUUUUCGGGUCCUCGCUUUGUAGAAGUGUAAGAAAUGAUCAAAAUGACCAAGGAUAGUAUAUAUAUGAGGUUGUGUGUGGCUGGAGGGGUGUGUGGUUGGCCUGUGUGCGGCUGGCUGGCGGCAUACUCUAGCGUGCGGCCGCACACACCUGGUUUGGUGUGUUUGGCCCAAUUUUUCGAUGCUACAACCAAACUAACCCAUCCUCCGACAUGUAUUUCAAUUUUACUAAGCUUUAAGCACUCUUUUAGACCUGAGACUUCAUUAUAAAAUAGCAAAACGAAGCUGACUCUGAUAAAAAUGAAGAAUGUAAACUAGAAAUUUCGGGUUGUCACAUCAUCCCCCUGUUAAAGGGAAUUUCAUCCCGAAAUUAGAAUUUAGGUAAGGAAGUAGGUAUGAAUGAUCGAGUCGAGAGGUGGGAAACUUCCUAAUCGAUUGGUUCUCGCGCUCCUAAGUGAAAUCGGGUCCUCGGUUGGUAUCCCAAUGAACCUUCACUUAUACGGAGGCGGAGCUGCUUCGUCCGCUUGACCACUCGGUCGAGGGUUACUACGGUUCUAAUACGAAGGCGAGGAUCUUGUUAAUCUCGAUCUCGUCGAGUGGGCUUACGAGAGUCCUAACGGAAAUGUACUGUUUCAAGAUUGAGACGCGAAGAGUAAAAUGUACGUUACUGAGUUCGCGGAGUAGGUUUAGUCUGUGAGAUACAAGACCGAUUCUGGUAAGAAUCUCGGGGGUCCUGACUAACUUGGAUUUACCUUACCACGUGAAGCAAAGCGCAUUAGGCCAUUACUAAUAGUGAGUUUUCCUAAAGAACUUGGUCUCUCACUUGGAAUAUCCAAGGUUUCUUUUUUCUUGUUUACCUUCCCAGUCAAGGGCCACCCCCUGCUGGGUCAAAGUCGUACGGGUUUCUGUGAUUUGCGAGGAGUUAUGGAUGAACUAUGAUAGUAGGCCUGUAAGACCUAGAAUUUGGCGAAUGUCUGUCGGCGUCUCUGGCGUCGACAAAUUCUCAACGGUUUUGACAAAUUGUAAGAGUACUCAAAAUUUCCCACAUCACUAAUAAUGUGUCAUAGAAAUUCGACUCUUCAAUUUCAAAACUCGUGCUUAGAGAACUUCGUGAAAGUUCCUCCGAGAGUAAUGUUUCCAUGAGUUCCUUCUUACUACGAGGGUAGAUAAGUAAGUUGUUACAUGGAGAAUGACGAAUUGAUCCAAGUAAGAAAGACGGACUCUAUUCAUUAAACUCGUGAAUGCUUCAGGCGUAUUGGUCCUAUCCGAAGGGUAUCACUAUGGAAUCGAAGUGUCCGCAUCAAGUUCGGAAGGUAGUCUUCCGGACAUCCUUCCCUCACACUCAAACUGGUGAUAUUCGGAUAUCAGGUCCAUUUCUGAAAGUAAUUCUUUCCUUGCGUUUGCUCAACCAAUUCAUCUAUGUGAGACAGAGAUAACGAUUUCUAAUGGAAAAAUUCUGGACGGAGUCCUCGAUAGCCGAGGAACAUACGAUGCAAUCCGUCGAUCACUGUAAGAAUAAGACCGGAGUUCUCCAGGGUGAGAAGCCUAGUCUUCUAAUUCUAUUUUUGUGUAGUUCGCUAAGUUGUCCGGGUUGUUCUUGUAUCUCCGUAGGUGUUUAGACUGAAGGGCGAUCUGUUCACAGAAGUCGUACUGGGUUCUAAGUUUGUUCACAUGACGAUGUGAUUACUCGUAAGCUUGGGCAGUUCUCCUUCCUGAAGCUCAUAUUAGAAUUCAUACAUGGUUUCACAAUCACAAUCUCGUGUAUACGAGUCGUAUAUAAUUAAGAUUGAAAAGGUAGUCGAAUAACAGAUUCUUCUUUAAGCUCACACCCCAUCGAGGAAAAGACGUUAAAGUGGAAUCAUCAAUUCUAAACCUGUAGAACCUUGAUUAUAUAUUUCCCUUAUGUAUACACUCCUCAGUGAUAGAUCAACCGUAUGAAUCCUUGGAUUGAACUUGACGUACUGCACGAGUGGUAGUUCAGGGAUUUCUUCGGAAGAGAAAAGGACUAUGGGGUACUCCAGGCAUGAGUACUUCGGUGUUCUGAAAUGACGGUUUCGCUAAAAAGACGUUCACUGGUAAAGAGAUGUACAUAUGAAGCUGUUUUUGUGAGGAUCAAAUUGAAUCAAGUCGUAUGAUAAUGUCGGAAUCACACCGAAACUUAAAGACAUUAGAUUUGAACAUAAGACAUUUACAGACAAAACACAACCGUGAAAUCAUCAACAAAUUUACAGUAAUUUAGAUUUACUACAAGACUAUUGCUGCGAAUAAGGUAUACUACAAAAGAAAAGUAUACGCAGCACGAGCAUCCUUAUACCGAUAGGAUCCCACAAAAGAUAGGACUCUAGUUGCACUAGUUCUGGAUAGUUUAUAAGUCUGUUACAGCGAAAUGCCUAAAUUACAUUAACGAGGGUCCGACGUAGUUUCUCCUGCAGCUAUGAUCCUGAGAAUCUUCCCAUCAGUACCCAAGUUCUUCGCUAUCGGGCAAUCCUUCUUGAGGUGUCCAAUUUCACCACAUUGGUGACAUAUCUGGACAGCACCAACAUUGGUGGUGGAAGUGAUGUGUUUAGCCAGUGUCAUGUGGACACGAGUGCCUUCCUCAUUACUCCACCUUGGAAAUUGCUCCCUAAAGCGUUCGGAUUUAUCACUACUUUUGUGUGUAUGGUUGGUCCCGAUGACAGGGACUUGAGUGAUGGGUCGUGCUGGUGCUCCACAGUAAUGAGCAUGGUGCCUUAUGUUUAGGCAAUUGCAACAUUGCAUCUCAUGGAAAACCCCAUGAUGAUGGAAACUACACUUAUCAUACUUCGGGAGUUUUCGCUCGUAUGGCCUGCUCGGUACGGGGAUGGCAGGGGUUUCCACUUGUUGUUGUUGCAUGGCAAGUUUUUAGGAUUUCUUGCGUUCUUUCUGGGCUUGGCGCUUUCAUUUCUUGUUCUCUGCUUUUCGGCUUUGCGAGCCUGAGACUGUUACCGUUUGACGACUUCCUGGAUGGAUACCACGAUUGGAAACUUCAACCCCUUUAUCCGCAUUGAUUUCGCUUCGAUGUGCAAGGACAGCUGUCACGGCAGCCAUCACACCAGUUGUAACUGCGGUUUGAAAAGUAGCGGCGUCCAUUGGAAAAGCAGAGGUUUCGUUGUUCAGCUGACUGUUUCCGGAUGACGACAUGAUUCUGUAAUAUGAAAGAUAAGGAUUUUGUGAGCGAUUCUGGUUGACCCUAGAUGUACUUCGAUCGCUUAAGCAAAGAUUAAGAGGAUGUUCUCGAAAGUUUUACCUACAUCCCUAUGAUGCAUUCCUAGUACGGAUUGGAAGUAUGUUUGCAAAGGUUCGACCUACAUCCCUAUGAUGCAGUCCUAGUAAAGAAUGGAAGUAUGUUCGUAGUAUGGUCGUAUGACGCUUAACGUCUGAAACAGGGUACCACUGACUGGUAAAUAACAUGAUCCAAUCCUUGAAGGAGAACUGGGAAUUAUCCCUGAGCUGGAACAUCCCAGUUCAAUAACUCAACUAGAGUGGGUUUCAAAUAGACUCCCAUGAUAGCACGAUGAAAGUAUUUGAAUAAAGAAUGACACAGAAGUUAGGUGACUGUCAAUAUCUUUGAUAUUCAUGAUGUAAAAUUUCGGGAAAAUGACGUUGUAAGAGGUCUUACAUCAUAUCCAGGGAAGAUAGUUCUUGACAGUAUAAAGACCUAACCAAAAGUACUUACGGUACAUGAUAGUUUCAAAGAGAAUGCCUCAUCAGGCAUAGACAGAAAAAUGAUUCCCUUUUUAACAAGGAAAAUAAAGUAAAGCAUCUACUACUGGAAACGGUCAUCCCUCUGGUGAACUCUCAGUUCAGCCAGUUGAUGUUUCACAUCAAGUAGGUGCCUUUCGUACACUCUCUAGCAUACGCGGAGUUCUAUGACUUCGACUCGUGAUUCAGCCAGUGCUUGAAGUAGGGCUUCAUGGUCUCUUUCAGAUCUCUCAUGAUCAUCUUCUAGAUGAAUGGUGCGGAGGGUAUGCAUUCUUGCAUUGGCGACAACUUCUGUGAUCUGAUGUAGGGCUGUCCUGCCUUGAAUCUCAUUUCGGGCCACUUUGCGGACCAAGAUUGGCAAGAUUCUGUCUGCUGAGCUCCCAUUGCUAAGGUCAUAAAAGCUUCGGUCACCAUUAAAUGGCAUGGGCUAAUCUUGUCCUUGGCUCCAUGUUUCCAAGCAUUCUACCAAAAGAGGCGUCGGGCCAUGAAAAGUCGAACGAGGGUUAGGAUUUGGGAAAAGAGUUGCCUGAGGUAGGUUCUCAACCUCGGGUUCGGAGUUAGCACCAUCCGAAAGUUCUUCAUCAUGGUGAUCAUUCACAGGGAUUAGAUGAUCAUUCUCGGGUUCUUCUCCAAACCAUCCAACAAUGACUUCGUUCGGAAGGUACUGGUUGUCGUGGGGAUGGAGUCCAGCCAUGUUAUCUACGCGAGAAUUGGGGUAAGAAAAUAAUUAUUAGACGAAAUAUCUAGAUAAUUAUUCAGAACAUCUUCAUUAGCUACAUCACUAUUUGUGAAGUGCAUACCCGUUAUACGUAAUCGAAACAGGAUAGGCCUUCGAAUAAGUGACCUUUACUCCAAAUUCACACAGAAUAGGGGUAAAGCAAAAUUUUCACAGAUUCUAAGUCUAUAACAUCCUAGUUACAUAUAGCCUUAGUGUAUCCACUUAGCAACUAUCAACUUAGUAAUGAAGAUCCCAUUUUAGUUCUCAAGUAUAAAGUACUUAUAGUAACACCAAAUACCCCUAUAGUAUUUUAAGUUUAAUGUUAUGUUCUACUGUUCUCAUUAUGGUGUUGUUGGUAAGAUUUUAGACUUGUUGCAACCUCACAACUACACUUAGGCACAUGCUAGUCAAUCCUCGGAUAAUAUAGUUGAUCAGGCUAUAUCUUCCCAGUUUUGACUAUAUGUCUCUAAGUCCACUUGUGUUGCCCAACAAUCGUAAUUAUUUUGUACUGUCCUAGUGACACUGAUUUUAGUAUGAAUGCAGGCACGUAUACUUAAUUAAAUAUUUUAAUAUUUAAAGUAUAAACUCUUGGUCAUAGUACUUUUAAUCCCUAUGUAUUUAUAGUUAGUAUAUCUUUUAUGGGUUGAUAUACUUAAUUCACUAUAAACAAUGCUCUGAUACCAUUCUGUCACACCCCAAAACCAUUGAACGGCGGAAACGUUCUGGGGCGGAGGACAUCAUAUACAGUAUCACAACAAUGAAAAGUAGUAAACAAGCAACAACAUCAUCCAUUGCAUUAAUGAUAUAAUUUUAAUACAAGUGUUUUGAUAUGUCUAAAAGACACUAAUGUAUAAAUCAAAAUGAAAGAUGAGUCUUGAUCGAGCUCCAUCUUCUCUAAACCUUGCAUCUGCACUUGUCUACUGUUUCCCUCAGGAUACAAGUUAUUUUGAAAGCGAGUAUUAGCUUUAAAGCUGGUGAGAUCAUAAGAAUUUUAGUGUCUUAUUUUGUAUGUAAGUACUUGUAUGUAUUUGAAAUGUAAGUAUUUAUACAAAUGAACUGUAAGUAUUUGUAUGUAAAUGAACUGGAAGUAUUUGUAUGUAAAUGAACAUCCUAGAAAACCCUAUGUUUCCUACUAAUUGUAUCCUUCUACCAAGGCAUCUAGUAUCCAUGUGUGUGUGUCUUGUAAGAGUGUGUAUUUUCCCAAAUCUGACUAUCAUUAACCAAAAAUAUAGUUUCUACAUUACCGUGCAUCGUGUGAAUGUUCACGAAGUGAAUGUAAUGGGAAAAUGAAAUAGUACUAUGGUGUAGUAUCAAAUAACUACAACCGUACUAACUACCUUAAAUCUAUUGUAAUUUCAAGUAACAUGUGAUCGACCUAUAUCCUGCUACCGACUCUAGUAAAACGACGAUGUAAGACGCCGUAAGAAAUGACAUUUGGCACCCGUAGACUUGCAAGUCCCACUGUAGCGAGCAGC